AGCAGCCGCGGUAAUUCCAGCUCCAAUAGCGUAUAUUAAAGUUGUUGCAGUUAAAAGCUCGUAGUUGAAUUUCGGGAUCAAUGCGUCGGUCGUGCCUUCAGUACGUACUAGCGUCAUUGAUUCCUCCCUUCUGAAGAACCGUGAUGUCAUUAAUUUGGUGUUACGGGGAAUCAGGACUGUUACCUUGAAAAAUUGGAGUGUUUAAAGCAGGCUAACGCUUGAAUACAUUAGCAUGGAAUAAUGAAAUAGGACGUUCGAACCUAUUUUGUUGGUUUUAGGAUCGACGUAAUGAUUAAUAGGGAUAGUUGGGGGCAUUAGUAUUCAAUUGUCAGAGGUGAAAUUCUUGGAUUUAUUGAAGACUGACUACUGCGAAAGCAUUUGCCAAGGAUGUUUUCAUUAAUCAAGAACGAAAGUUAGGGAUCGAAGACGAUCAGAUACCGUCGUAGUCU
rnacentral:misc_RNA from 1 species